rnacentral:rRNA from 1 species
UGGGGAAUAUUGGACAAUGGGCGAAAGCCUGAUCCAGCCAUUUCGCGUGUGUGAAGAAGGUCUUCGGAUUGUAAAGCACUUUAAGUUGGGAGGAAGGGCAGUAAGCGAAUACCUUGCUGUUUUGACGUUACCGACAGAAUAAGCACCGGCUAACUCUGUGCCAGCAGCCGCGGUAAUACAGCGGGUGCAAGCGUUAAUCGGAAUUACUGGGCGUAAAGCGCGCGUAGGUGGUUCGUUAAGUUGAAUGUGAAAGCCCCGGGCUCAACCUGGGAACUGCAUCCAAAACUGGCGAGCUAGAGUAGGGCAGAGGGUGGUGGAAUUUCCUGUGUAGCGGUGAAAUGCGUAGAUAUAGGAAGGAACACCAGUGGCGAAGGCGACCACCUGGGCUCAUACUGACACUGAGGUGCGAAAGCGUGGGGAGCAAACAGG